CUCUCUUUUGUCUCCCUCCCGUGAGAUGCGAGUGCCGAGUGGCAACCGGGGGUGAUGGUGAACCGGGGUCCCGGAGCAAUCCCGUCGCAGCAACACCAGCGGAGGUGCACGGCGAUGAUCGCCAGCUCUAUUUGGCGAGCUGUGGAGGAGGAAGCCAAUGAAAAGGAGAUAUUCAGCAUUGGUCCGCUGUCAGUACUGAUGAUGAGUGUCACGGACAAUACCCAGUUUUGUAGAUUUCAGCUAUUGAGAUAUCAGUUUUACCUCACAAUAUGGUCUCCACUUUCAACUGUAUGUCCAUCACUCCAUCUGCAUUUAUUUUUUUCUACCAAGUGCACAAAUGUCGGUAUUCUUUUCAUGUAGUUGUGUUAGCUAAAAGUUCAGUUAACCAAGGUGUGCACAGUAGGAAUUCAUUGUAUCAUUCGCAGUUGGCUUGCCCUAAAAAUUAUAUCAUUAUUAACUAUUAAGGUGUGUGACCAUACUUUCUGUACUUCCUAGUGUGAUAAUUACUGACAUAUAUCAACUUUUAAUUAGCUUAGUCAUCAGAGUGAGUUCAAGUGUUCAACUAUGUGCAGCCUGAUACUCACUUUAAUAGAAUCAUAGGAGAGGCAGCUCUGUGUUUUCCCAACAAGUUACACCUCCAACCGGAAGUGAUGUGAAUUUUCCCACUCUGGACUCUAGCUUUCGCUUGUAAGCAUAUUUGUGUAUUACUUUGUUGGAGCAACCCUAUUUGGUAAUGUUGUUUUUUUGCUUCCAGUAGCAUUGCAAUGAUUUAGAUUAUUUUCUCAUGUACAAGCUAGAAUAAAGCAAUAGAUAAGAUUUGGUGUUUCAGUCUGCAACCACAUAACUGGGCCAAUCCCAGCAGAAGCUCGGUCUCUUCAGCAACCACAUUAUAAGGUGCAAUCUCUUAAUCUGUGGCCCUCCUUGGAAGCCUCAAGCCUCCGAUAAUUGCGAGUGAAGGUGGAGGAUACGCAAAUUUGUACAUUAAAUGUUUGGAUAGCUGUAGUAAUUAAAUUUUAAUUGUAAGUUUUGUUGCAAGCCACAAAAUUCAACAGUAAUAUUUUCAUCUAUCGUGUUCCAAAAAAAUCAGGUAAUGUUUUUUAUUUAUUGUGUUCCAAAAAGUUUA